UACGUAGGCAGCAAGCGUUGUUCGGAAUUACUGGGCGUAAAGAGUGUGUAGGCGGUGUUCUAAGUUUGUCGUGAAAUCUCCCGGCUUAACUGGGAGGGUGCGGCGAAAACUGGAAUGCUAGAGGAUGGGAGAGGUAAGCGGAAUUCCUGGUGUAGCGGUGAAAUGCGUAGAUAUCAGGAGGAACACCGGUGGCGAAGGCGGUUCUCUGGGCCUGACCUGACGCUGAGGAGCGAAAGCGUGGGGAGCGAACAGG
rnacentral:rRNA from 1 species